rnacentral:lncRNA from 1 species
UCCUUCUCCUUCUUGUUUUCUUCUUCUUAUCCUCUUCCUUCUUCUUCUCCUCCUCCUCCUCCUCCUCCUUCUUUUACUUCUUCAUCUCUAUCUCUUCUUCUACGUAGCUUAGACUCAUCCAAGAAAGGCUAAAUUGGCUAAUUAUCCUACGAAAUGACAUUAUUAGCUUAGUUAGCUCCAAAAUGGCCUAGUUAAUAAAAAAU